rnacentral:rRNA from 1 species
AGCGAACGUUAGCGGCGGGCCUAACACAUGCAAGUCGAACGCGAAAGGUCUUCGGACCGAGUAGAGUGGCGCACGGGUGAGUAACACGUAGGUAAUCUACCCUUUGGCGGGGGAUAACGUUCCGAAAGGAGCGCUAAUACCGCAUAAGACCACGGAGUCUCCGGACGCUGUGGGAAAAGGUGGCCUCUUCUUGAAAGCUACCACCGAAGGAUGAGCCUGCGUCCCAUCAGCUAGUUGGUAAGGUAAUGGCUUACCAAGGCGAAGACGGGUAGCUGGUUUGAGAGAAUGAUCAGCCACACUGGCACUGGAACACGGGCCAGACUCCUACGGGAGGCAGCAGUGAGGAAUAUUGGGCAAUGGGCGAAAGCCUGACCCAGCCACGCCGCGUGAGUGAUGAAGGCCCUCGGGUCGUAAAGCUCUGUGGAGAGGGACGAAAACCCUGGUUUCAAAUAGGCUCCAGGCUUGACGGUACCUCUUUAGCAAGCACCGGCUAACUCUGUGCCAGCAGCCG